AUUGAACGCUGGCGGCAUGCCUUACACAUGCAAGUCGAACGGCAGCGGGGACUUCGGUCCGCCGGCGAGUGGCGAACGGGUGAGUAAUGUAUCGGAACGUACCUUUCAGUGGGGGAUAACGUAGCGAAAGUUACGCUAAUACCGCAUAUUCUCUGAGGAGGAAAGCAGGGGACCUUCGGGCCUUGUGCUGAUGGAGCGGCCGAUAUCAGAUUAGCUAGUUGGUGAGGUAAAGGCUCACCAAGGCGACGAUCUGUAGCGGGUCUGAGAGGAUGAUCCGCCACACUGGGACUGAGACACGGCCCAGACUCCUACGGGAGGCAGCAGUGGGGAAUUUUGGACAAUGGGCGCAAGCCUGAUCCAGCCAUGCCGCGUGAGUGAAGAAGGCCUUCGGGUUGUAAAGCUCUUUCGGACGGGAAGAGAUUGGUGGGGCUAAUAUCCCCAUCGGAUGACGGUACCGUAAUAAGAAGCACCGGCUAACUACGUGCCAGCCGCCGCCGUAAUAC
rnacentral:rRNA from 1 species